rnacentral:rRNA from 1 species
UGGGCGAACGGGUGAGUAACGCGUGAGGAACCUGCCUCAGAAGGGGGGACAACAGUUGGAAACGACUGCUAAUACCGCAUAAGCCCACGGGUCGGCAUCGACCUGAGGGAAAAGGAGCAAUCCGCUUUGAGAUGGCCUCGCGUCCGAUUAGCUAGUUGGUGAGGUAACGGCCCACCAAGGCGACGAUCGGUAGCCGGACUGAGAGGUUGAACGGCCACAUUGGGACUGAGACACGGCCCAG